CUACGGGUUGCUGCGGUGGGGAAUAUUGCGCAAUGGGGGAAACCCUGACGCAGCAACGCCGCGUGAAGGACGAAGGUUUUCGGAUCGUAAACUUCUUUGAUUGGGGAAGAAUAAAUGACGGUACCCAAAAAACAAGCCACGGCUAACUACGUGCCAGCAGCCGCGGUAAUACGUAGGUGGCAAGCGUUGUCCGGAGUUACUGGGUGUAAAGGGCGUGUAGGCGGGGAGGCAAGUCAGAUGUGAAAUACCACGGCUCAACCGUGGGGGUGCAUCUGAAACUGCUUCUCUUGAGUGCUGGAGAGGAAAGCGGAAUUCCUAGUGUAGCGGUGAAAUGCGUAGAUAUUAGGAGGAACACCAGUGGCGAAGGCGGCUUUCUGGACAGUAACUGACGCUGAGGCGCGAAAGCGUGGGGAGCAAACAGGAUUAGAUACCCCUGUAGUC
rnacentral:rRNA from 1 species